UACGUAGGGUGCAAGCGUUGUCCGGAAUUAUUGGGCGUAAAGAGCUCGUAGGCAGUUUGUCGCGUCUGCUGUGAAAACUCGGGGCUUAACCCCGGGCCUGCAGUGGGUACGGGCAGACUAGAGUGCGGUAGGGGAGACUGGAAUUCCUGGUGUAGCAGUGAAAUGCGUAGAUAUCAGGAGGAACACCGAUGGCGAAGGCAGGUCUCUGGGCUGACACUGACGCUCAUGCACGAAAGCGUGGGGAGCAAACAGG
rnacentral:rRNA from 1 species